rnacentral:rRNA from 1 species
UACGUAGGGACCGAGCGUUGGCCGGAUUCAUUGGGCGUAAAGAGCUCGUAGGCGGCCACUCAAGUCGAAUGUGAAACCUCGAGGCUUAACCUCGAGCCUGCAUUCGAUACUGGGCGGCUAGAGUCUGGUAGGGGGAUCUGGAAUUCCUGGUGUAGCGGUGGAAUGCGCAGAUAUCAGGAGGAACACCGGUGGCGAAGGCGGGAUCCUGGGCCAGUACUGACGCUGAGGAGCGAAAGCGUGGGGAGCAAACAGG